rnacentral:tRNA from 1 species
GCAGUGCUGAUUCAGUGGUAGAAUUCUCAUCUUCCAUGCAGGAGACCUGGGUUCAAUUCCUGGUCAAUGCU